CCUAGUUGAUCUUUCUAGUAGUCAUAUGCUUGUCUCAAAGAUUAAGCCAUGCAUGUCUAAGUAUGAACUAAUUCAUACCGUGAAACAACAGAUGGCUCAUUAAAUUAGUUAUAGUUUUUUUUGAUGAUACCAUACUACUCGGAUAACCAUAGUAAUUCUAAAGCUAAUACAUGCACCAAGUCCGGACUCUUUGGAAGGGAUGCAUUUUUUAGAUAAAAGGUCAGCGCGGGUUUACUUGCUUCUCUCGUGAAUCAUGAUAACUCGAUGGAUUGCACAGCCCUUGUGCUGGUGAUGCUUCAUUCAAAUUUCUGCCCUAUCAACUUUCAAUAGUAGGAUAGAGUCAUACCAUGGUGGUGAUGGGUAAUGGAGAAUUAGGGUUUGAUUCCAGAGAGGAAGCCUGAGAAACAACUACCACAUCCAAGGAAGGUAGCAGGCGUGCAAAUUACCCAAUCCUGACAUGGGGAGGUAGUGACAAUAAAUAACAAUACUGGGCUCAUCGAGUCGAGUAAUUGGAAUGAGUACAAUCUAAAUCCCUUAAUGAGGAUCCAUUGGAGGGCAAGUCUAGUCCCAGUAGCGAUGGUAAUUCUAGCUCCAAUAGCAUUUAUUUAAGUUGUUGCAGUUAAAAAGCUUGUAGUUGGAUCUUGGGUCAUAAAGGUCAGUCUGCCUACUCAGUAUGCACCUGCCCUUCUGUCCAUUUUGUUGGUGGCAUGCUUCUGGCCUUAUUUGGCUGGGUCGUGGCUCCAAUGCUAUUACUUUGAAAAAAUUAGAGUGCUCAAAAAAAGCUUAUGAUCUAAAUACAUUAACAUGGAAUAACAUGAUAGGAGUUUGGUCCUAUUGUGUUAGCCUUCGGGACCAGAGUAAUGAUUAAUAGGGAUUGUCAGUGGCAUUUGUAUUCCAUUAUCAGAGGUGAAAUUCUUGGAUUUAUGAAAGGCGGACCACUACGAAAGCAUUUGCAAAGGAUGUUUUCAUUAAUCAAGAACAAAAGUUGGGGCUCCAAGAUGAUCAGAUACCAUCCUAGUCUCAACCAUAAACGAUGUCGACCAGGGAUUAGCAGAUGUUGCUCUAAGGACUCCGCCAACACCUUCUGAGAAAUCAAAGUGUUUGGGUUCUGGGGGGAGUAUGGUCACAAGGCUAAAAUGUUGAGAUUGCAACAAGAUGAUGGAGCUUAGUG
rnacentral:rRNA from 1 species